UCUUGGGAUAUAUUUUCUCCAGUAGUGUUACUGUUCAACUCUGUGAGUGUUUAAACAUAUAAUCAGUAAAGUUGUGUGUCAGCAGUUGUCGGAGCAUCUGGAGAAGAAGGAAGCUGUUCUCUCUGAAGUUCUCUCAGCUGCUAAUCUGGAUCCCACCUCAUUUAACCACGUCAGCCACCAACUAGAGACAAUUGUUGACGAGAAAAAUCAACUAGUUGGAGGCUUGCGUGAAGAAGUAGCAACUCUGCGACGUAUGUACACAAACCUCAUGGAUAAAUAUCAGUCUACCCUCAGAAGCAAUGCCAAACCAAAGACUACUACUAAAUUUCCCAACAUUUCAAUAUAAACCCAAUCUGUCAAUCACUCCAGCAUUGCUGGAUUUAAAUGGUGUGUUGCCAAGACUAGUGAAGAGAUGUGAUACAGAGGAAGCUUUUAUUGGGACAACAUUUACAGCUUUAUCAAGUCACACAGAAUGCAUGCAUAUACUGUGUUUAAACUCCUUGUGGGGAGUAAGAGGUGAGGUGAGUGUAAUCAUUAAUGUCUGAUGAAUCUUCCAUGAAGUUUUGCAAGAGAUACACUGGUCAGUGUUGUUCAACUGUCUCCUGGUUUCUGGCUGGCACAUUUGGCCUAAUCUUGUGCAACUCUAGUGCCAAAACUUUCUCUGAGGAAACAACUGGUAACUCUAACAAGACACAUUUGUAGUAACUAGUAUAUUUAAUGAGGAAUUGUUUUGGCCACAAAGGGCUUUAUCAAGCCAGUAUAGAGAAUAGAAAAUACUGGAUAUAGAUAGUGAAUCAGGUCAGCUGCUGCAUGCAUUGGAAGGCAGAGCUACUAGGCAUGGCUGUGUUCUGCUUUAAUAGGAUGUGUAAAGCAAAUAUUUCCAAAACCAUAGAACUGCCUGUGCUUUGAGUGGUGGAGUUGAUAGUAGCAAUGAAAGCAAAUUCCAAUUAGAAUCUGCAACUUAGGCCAAGUUUCUUGGUGACAAGCUUGGCACUUAGGAAGUCUAUGAGAUGGUUACUUCGUGUUAUGGUACAGGCAUUAAGUGGUUCCUUUGGCUAGUGUACUUAUGUUCACUGGUGUCUUUGAUUCUCGUAGAUGUUUUCACCAUGUAUAUUUUCCCCCACAUUAGAUGGUGUAAGUACUAUCUUUAGAUUCACUGUGUUGUGCAUUACAUUCUAGUUUGUUACUAUGUUCUUAAUGGUGUUGAAAGUCAUAUUGGCUAUGCAGGUCUUUUAUCAAUAAGAUUAUAGACAUUCUCAGAGCCAUCCCAACAGGAGAGCAAUGUACCUGUCAGGAGUCUUUUAGUGGUGUGUAAGACCUUAAGAGCCUUUCUCCCUCAGUCAUUGAUGUAAUGUGUUGAGUACUGAAGGUUGGAAAAGCUUCAGUGUAUACAACUGCAAUCUUUGAGGGAGAGCUUGAUAUUCAAUAAGCUCUUAACAACCUAUAAUGACUCUUAGUACAUGGGUCAUGGUGUAAUGGGUAAUGUGGUUCAUCCUUGUUCAUGGGUUUCCUGCAAACUUUGAAAUCUAAAUUGUGGCCAUUCCUGCAAAGUAAAUUAUGAAAGAGUAGGCAAUUAUUCUGUUCCUUCUCCAUGGUAAAUGUGAUGAGAGGUUUCCAUGGAGUUGGUGAGACGCAAAGUGGUGUCCAGAUGGCUAGAUACAAUUAUCCAUAUAAACUGUGUUCUCUCUCUGAAGAUGUAUAGCCUGGAGGAAAGCUGUACACCUCCAGAGAUAACAUGGCAUUAUGUGGAUAACAUCCUGGUAAUCACACCUAGACAUCUGGACACCACUGCACUUCUCAACAUCAGCUCCAAGUUCACCAUGUAGGAGGAAAAGAAUAAUUACCUACUCUUCCCAGUUUACUUUGCAAUAAUAGCCAAAAAUUGGAUUUCAGAGCCUACAGGAAACCCACAAAUAAGGAUCUUCUACACUCCUAUCAUGAACCCACAUACUAAGAGAGGAAUCAUCAUAGGCUUUUCAGAGCUUAUAAAAUUUCAAACCCUGCAUUCCUUGAAGAAUGUAGUUGUAUACACAGGACCUUUUCCAAACUUCAGUACUCACCACAUUUAAUCAGCGAUUUUAAGAAAGGCUAUGAAGGUCUUAACACAUCAUUGGUCUCCCAAUUCAACAGGGUUCUGAGAAAGUCAACUACUUUAUUGUUAAAAGACCUUCAUGGCCAGCAUGACUUUUAACACCACCAACAUAUUAACAAAUAGGAAUGCACAACACACAAAACUGAAAGCUAGUAUUUACACCACCCAUUGUGGGAAAGUAUACAUGGUGAAAACACCUAGGAACAUCAAACAACGUACCAGUGAAUGUUAGCAGAAUUGCCAGAAAUUACCUAGCACCUCUAACACCCAUAACCAUCUCAUGGAUUUCCAAAGUGCCAGGCUUGUCACCAAGGAAUAUGACCUGUGUCACAGAUGCUGUCUGGAAUUUGCUCUCAUUGCUACUACCACCACCACUCAAAACACAGGCAGUCUUAUGAUCUAGGAAAUACUUGCCACACACAUCCUGUCUAAGCAGAACACAGCCAUGCCUAGCUCUGCCUUCCAGUGCAUGCAUUACCUGACCUGACCCAUUACACAUAUCCUGUGCUUUCUAUUCUCUCUAUUGGAUUGAUCAAGCAUUUUAUGGCCAAACCAUUUCCUCAUUGAAUGUUAUAGUUAUGUGUUUUGUUGUUAUUACCAGAUGUUUCCUCAGAGAAAGUCUUGGCACUAGAGUUGCCCGAGAUUAGGGCAAAUGUGCCAGCCAGAAACCAGGAGACAGCUGAACAACACUGACCAGUGUACUUCUUGCAAAGCUUCAGACCUAAAAUUCAUCAAAAUGAUUACACUCCUUCCUCUCUCCAAGAAGUACAUGUAUGAGAGCAUUUUGCCAAGCUUGAUUCCUUCAUUACAACAAUACCAUAAAUGAGACUUAAUAUCUUUGUUUUCAUUAGCAUUUCUUCUUUUGUAUAAUAGCUGAAGUAAAUUUCUUAGGUA